CAUGUCUCGGCUCAGGGAAUCUUAAUAGGGACCUUAGCAAACCAUUUAUUGAUAAUUCAUUGAAGGUGGAGCAGAGGCUGAAAUAAACUCAUAGUGAAGUUGACUCGGUGAAAGACCUGAAUGAAUCAAUCCUUCUUCAGGAUGAAGAACAUGAAAACAAAAGAAAAUAUG